CAACCUCAACUCAUAUGGGACUACCCCCUGAAUUUAAGCAUAUUAAUUAGGGGAGGAAAAGAAACUAACAAGGAUUUUCUUAGUAGCGGCGAGCGAAAAGAAAUCAGUUCAGCACUAAGUCACUUUGUCUAUAUGGCAAAUGUGAGAUGCAGUGUACGGAACAUCAACAUUCUAGUAUGAGAAAGUUAACGAUUUAAGUCCUUCUUAAAUGAGGCCAUUUACCCAUAGAGGGUGCCAGGCCCGUAUACGUUAAUGAUUACUAGAUGGUGUUUCCAAAGAGUCGUGUUGCUUGAUAGUGCAGCACUAAGUGGGUGGUAAACUCCAUCUAAAACUAAAUAUAACCAUGAGACCGAUAGUAAACAAGUACCGUGAGGGAAAGUUGAAAAGAACUCUGAAUAGAGAGUUAAAUAGUACGUGAAACUGCUUAGAGGUUAAGCCCGAUGAACCUGAAUAUCCGUUAUGGAAAAUUCAUCAUUAGAAUUGUAAUAUUUUAAACAAUAUUAUAAUAAUAGUGUGCAUUUUUUCCAUAUAAGGACAUUGUAAUCUAUUAGCAUAAAUAUUUAUCAUAAAAUUAUGUCUGAUUGCUUAUUUGAAUUAUAUGCUUGGCAUUUUAACAUAAAAUAAAAGAUAUAAAUUUGAUAAAGUGCUGAUAGAUUUAUAUGAUUACAGUGCGUUAAUUUUUCGGAAUUAUAUAAUGGCAUAAUUAUCAUUGAUAUUUGUGUUUAUUAUAUGCAUUUGUAUGAUUAACAAUGCGAAAGAUUCAGGAUACCUUCGGGA
rnacentral:ncRNA from 1 species